AUUGGGAAUGCUUGUUUUGACCUCAAGAGGAUGGCCAUUUCCAAGAAGAAGAAGAUUCACAUUGUUGAUCUGUACAUCUGUCCAACCUGGCUGCCACCCAAUAGCCAGGAUCCUAUGAGAAGUAUACCUACCCAUGCCCAUCAGUUGGAUGCCAUUUUCAUCCCCCUGUGGACUCCUGGCCACUACCAGAUCUGUG